rnacentral:rRNA from 1 species
AACGAACGCUGGCGGCGUGCCUAACACAUGCAAGUCGUGCGAGAAAGUUUCCUUCGGGAAGCGAGUAAAGCGGCGCACGGGUGAGUAACACGUAGGUAAUCUGCCUCGUAGUCGGGAAUAACCCGGGGAAACCCGGGCUAAUACCGGAUAAGACCACGAUUGUUCCGGCAGUCGAGGCCAAAGACGGCCACUACACGUAAGCUGUCGCUACGAGAUGAGCCUGCGGCCCAUUAGCUAGUUGGUGGGGUAAUGGCCUACCAAGGCUGUGAUGGGUAGCGGGUCGGAGAGGAUGAUCAGCCACACUGGGACUGAGACACGGCCCAGACUCCUACGGGAGGCAGCAGUGGGGAAUAUUGCGCAAUGGGGGAAACCCUGACGCAGCGACGCCGCGUGGGUGAUGAAGGCCUUCGGGUCGUAAAGCCCUGUCGUAGGGAAAGAACCGGUGGACGGCUAAUACCCGUCUGCCCUGACGGUACCCUACAAGAAAGCACCGGCUAACUCCGUGCCAGCCGCCGCAGUAAUAC